UGCUCCCAAACUUGUUUUCAUUCUCAUUUGUGAACUUGUUGGAGUCUUCAUAUAUAAAAUGGGAAACAGGUAUGAUUUUUUUUUUUGGGGGGGGGGCUUAUACUUCAGAAUGUCUGUAUUUAAAUUAAGCAACGUAGCACACACAGGAAGCAAUGUGGAAUGCACAUGAUGACAGGGAGGUGACGGCGGUGCAUAGAGUAAAUGAAGUUACCCCUCCCACUUCUGGUAGUAAGAGAUUUUUUAUCCUGUGUGAAUUGGCCAUUAAUAUAACAGAAAUCCAGUGGUAAAAUUACUGCAUCUACAAUCUACCCUUGUAAACCUAAUCUUGUCCAAAUGGUGCUUAAGUCAAACCAUCUAGAGCCACCAAGAAGUCAAAGUUGCACUGAUUUCUGCUUGUAACUUAAAUUUUGUCAAAGACAUACUUUUUUGAACUCAUCUUAGAUACUUUAUCAGAUCAUCCCCAACUUUGGUUCAAAGAUGCUGAGACAGUACCGUUCUCAACCAUUCUAAUGUAACAGCAAGGACUCCAAAGUAAAACUGUAUCUCACUUUUACACUGGGCUGGGCGAUAUAUCUAACGAUAUGAUCAUGCGCAUCUAUAUUAGCGCUAAAUCGCCAUCACCUGCUUUCAAAUGGAGCGGCAUUUAAUAGACAGAGCCGUAGAUCACUGACAAGGUACGCAAUAUCGCGUUCAUUAUCAAAGGCGAUUCAUCUGGGAUAAUGAACACGAUAUUGCGUACUUUGUCAGUGAUCUACGGCUCUGUCUAUUAAAUGCCGCUCCAUUUGAAAGCAGGUGAUUGAUCAUGAUCAUAUCGUUAGAUAUAUCGCCCAGCCCUAAUCAGAUAUGCAAGGAUCACAAUCACAAUCUGAACGGAGGAGGUCAGUUUGGAACAGAUUAUCAAGUCGUUCAAGAAUGUCUGACAGAAGAGCAGUUUGGACUAACAGAGGAAACAAGAGUGAUAGAAGAACAAACAACAUUUGUAUGGUGUCAGAAAACAAGCCUUUCUCCAAACCUAAUAUGCCGUCACCAAAGAGUGAGCCAAAAUCCUCAGGUUAUGAUCAUGAGGCUGUUUACUCCAACAUGGAAGAUCUCAACAUAUAUGGAAAUAUCUGAUGAUAAUGAACGUGUGUGUGUGUGUGUGUGUGUGUGUGUGUGUGUGUGUGUGUGUGUAUGUGUUUGUGUUUUUUAAAUGCUUAAAAUAAUAUUAAUCAGAUUGUAUGCUUUCAAAUGUAAUCACUCUUUUUUUAGUCUGUAACUGGUAUUGACUGAUUUUAUUAAUGUUGUUGUGUCUUUUCUACUCUACUUUGCAGCAUAUUUGUGUGAAAACAUAACUAUAAAUAUAAAAGUUAUAUCCAUUUAUCAAUUUAAUUAUCAAUUUCAUUAUCCAAUCUGCAUGAACAGACUGUAAUGAAACCAAAUGUUUUUAGAAAUAAUAAUCUUUGUAACAAUGAUUGUUAAAGGAAACGAGUAUAACCCCAAUCAGGCACAACAGAAUGAAUGAUUAGCAGUGUUACUGUCUUGACUGGUUAGGCAAGAUGAGAAGAAGCUGAUCUAAAUGCAACUCUUUCACUUUAUUUAUCAAACAACACCAUACACUGAACUAAGCAGACCGAGGGCAAAAAGUAAAAUGGCUAAUGAGAACAAAACUAGAAACAGAUGUGCAACAUAAUCAGGAAUGACAACAGAUGGGUAUCAGGAACAAAUGAAACAUGAGAAACUACAAGUUUUGUACUUUGUUUUUAAAUUUACCACUUGUAUAUUAUAAAGACCUCUCUUGUCAGAGUCACAGAUUGUGUCUUUCCUUUCAGUAAAUACUUUAUCUGAGUGUGGUGUCAUGACACAAGUGCAUUGUGAUGAACUCUGGCACUAAAUAAGACCAAGGAGACAUCUUUCAUUUUGCUGGGUAUGGGCCUCACACCAACAAAUGGGCUGACCUUCAUAUAUAUAAAAAAAAAAAAAAAAAAAAAAAUUUUUUUUAAUUUAUUUUUNNNNNNNNNNNNNNNNNNNNNNNNNNNNNNNNNNNNNNNNNNNUUUUCUUUUUGUGGUAUGGGCCCCACACCAAAAAAUGGGCUAUCCUACAAAAAAAUAAAAAAAAAAAAAAAAAAUUUUUUUUUUUAAUU
ensembl:lncRNA